rnacentral:rRNA from 1 species
GGUCAAGCGAAUAAGCGCACACGGUGGAUGCCUUGGCGGUCAGAGGCGAUGAAGGACGUGGCAGCCUGCGAAAAGUAUCGGGGAGCUGGCAACAAGCUUUGAUCCGGUAAUGUCCGAAUGGGGAAACCCACCCGCUUGCGGGUAUCCUGCAGUGAAUACAUAGCUGCUGGAAGCGAACCUGGUGAACUGAAAUAUCUAAGUAACCAGAGGAAAAGAAAUCAACCGAGAUUCCGUAAGUAGCGACGAGCGAACGCGGACUAGCCCUUAAGCUGGAUUGGUUCUAGGAAAAUGCUCUGGAAAGAGCAGCCAUAGAAGGUGAUAGCCCUGUAUCUGAAAGGGCCAUUCCAGUGAAGACGAGUAGGGCGGGGCACGUGAAACCCUGUCUGAACAUGGGGGGACCAUCCUCCAAGGCUAAAUACUACUGACCGACCGAUAGUGAACCAGUACCGUGAGGGAAAGGCGAAAAGAACCCCGGAGAGGGGAGUGAAAUAGAACCUGAAACCGUGUGCGUACAAGCAGUAGGAGCUCCGCAAGGAGUGACUGCGUACCUUUUGUAUAAUGGGUCAGCGACUUACUGUUCGUGGCAAGCUUAACCGUAUAGGGGAGGCGAAGGGAAACCGAGUCUGAUAAGGGCGCAUAGUCGCGGGCAGUAGACCCGAAACCGGGUGAUCUAGUCAUGCCCAGGGUGAAGGUGCGGUAACACGCACUGGAGGCCCGAACCCACUCCCGUUGCAAAGGUAGGGGAUGAGGUGUGAUUAGGAGUGAAAAGCUAAUCGAACCCGGAGAUAGCUGGUUCUCCUCGAAAGCUAUUUAGGUAGCGCCUCAUAUGUAUCCUCUCGGGGGUAGAGCACUGUUAUGGCUAGGGGGUCAUCGCGACUUACCAAACCAUUGCAAACUCCGAAUACCGAGACGGACUGUAUGGGAGACACACGGCGGGUGCUAACGUCCGUCGUGAAAAGGGAAACAACCCAGACCCACAGCUAAGGUCCCAAAUUUUGUGCUAAGUGGAAAACCAUGUGGAAAGGCACAGACAGCCAGGAGGUUGGCUUAGAAGCAGCCACCCUUUAAAGAAAGCGUAAUAGCUCACUGGUCGAGUCGGUCUGCGGGGAAGAUUUAACGGGGCUAAGCACAGAACCGAAGCUUGGGGUGCAUAACUUUGUUAUGCGCGGUAGAGGAGCGUUCCGUAAGCCGUUGAAGGUGGAUUGAGAAGUCUGCUGGAGGUAUCGGAAGUGCGAAUGCUGACAUGAGUAACGAUAAUGCGGGUGAAAAACCCGCACGCCGAAAGCCCAAGGUUUCCUUGCGCAACGUUAAUCGGCGCAGGGUGAGUCGGCCCCUAAGGCGAGGACGAAAGUCGUAGUCGAUGGGAAGCAGGUUAAUAUUCCUGCACCUCGCGUAAGUGCGAUGGAGGGACGGAGAAGGUUAGGUGUACCAGGCGUUGGUUGUCCUGGGGAAAGGCGGUAGGUUUGGAUCUUUGGCAAAUCCGGGAUCCUUCAAGACCGAGCACCGAGACGAGCCUUUAAGGCGAAGUCACUGAUACCACGCUUCCAGGAAAAGCUCCUAAGCUUCAGCUUACGCAGACCGUACCGUAAACCGACACAGGUGGGUAGGAUGAGAAUUCUCAGGCGCUUGAGAGAACUCGGGUGAAGGAACUAGGCAACAUGGCACCGUAACUUCGGGAGAAGGUGCACCCUUUUUGGUGGCUCGUGCGAGCUAUAGCUGAAGAGGGUCGCAGUAACCAGGCCGCUGCGACUGUUUAUCAAAAACACAGCACUCUGCAAACACGAAAGUGGACGUAUAGGGUGUGACGCCUGCCCGGUGCUGGAAGGUUAAUUGAUGGGGUCAGCCGCAAGGCGAAGCUCUUGAUCGAAGCCCCAGUAAACGGCGGCCGUAACUAUAACGGUCCUAAGGUAGCGAAAUUCCUUGUCGGGUAAGUUCCGACCUGCACGAAUGGCGUAACGACAGCGGCGCUGUCUCCACCCGAGACUCAGUGAAAUUGAAAUCGCUGUGAAGAUGCAGCGUUCCCGUGGCAAGACGGAAAGACCCCGUGAACCUUUACUAUAGCUUUACACUGAACGUUGAGUUCGUCUGUGUAGGAUAGGUGGGAGGCUAUGAAACCAUGGCGCUAGCUGUGGCGGAGCCAUCCUUGAAAUACCACCCUGUCGUGCUUGACGUUCUAACCUGGGCCCAUUAUCUGGGUCGGGGACCGUGUAUGGUGGGUAGUUUGACUGGGGCGGUCUCCUCCUAAAGAGUAACGGAGGAGCUCGAAGGUACGCUCAGCGCGGUCGGACAUCGCGCACUGUGUGCAAAGGCAUAAGCGUGCUUGACUGCAAGAUCGACGGAUCAAGCAGGUAGGAAACUAGGACUUAGUGAUCCGGUGGUUCUGUAUGGAAGGGCCAUCGCUCAACGGAUAAAAGGUACUCCGGGGAUAACAGGCUGAUACCGCCCAAGAGUUCAUAUCGACGGCGGUGUUUGGCACCUCGAUGUCGGCUCAUCACAUCCUGGGGCUGUAGUCGGUCCCAAGGGUAUGGCUGUUCGCCAUUUAAAGUGGUACGCGAGCUGGGUUCAGAACGUCGUGAGACAGUUCGGUCCCUAUCUGCCAUGGGCGUUGGAGAUUUGAGAGGGGCUGCUCCUAGUACGAGAGGACCGGAGUGGACGAACCUCUGGUGUUCCGGUUGUCACGCCAGUGGCAUUGCCGGGUAGCUAUGUUCGGAAGCGAUAACCGCUGAAAGCAUCUAAGCGGGAAGCGCGCCUCAAGAUGAGAUCUCCCGGGGCACAAGCCCCCUGAAGGAACCAUGUAGACUACGUGGUUGAUAGGUCAGGUGUGUAAGUACAGCAAUGUAUUGAGCUAACUGAUACUAAUGAUCCGUGCGGCUUGACCAU